AUUGAACGCUAGCGGCAGGCCUAACACAUGCAAGUCGAACGAGUGGCGGACGGGUGAGUAAUGUAUGGGAAACUGCCUGAUGGAGGGGGAUAACUACUGGAAACGGUAGCUAAUACCGCAUACCAUCAGAUGUGCCCAGAUGGGAUUAGCUUGUUGGUGGGGUAACGGCUCACCAAGGCGACGAUCCCUAGCUGGUUUGAGAGGAUGACCAUCCAAACUGGGACUGAGACACGGGCCAGACUCCUACGGGAGGCAGCAGUGGGGAAUAUUGGACAAUGGGGGAAAGCCUGAUACAGCCAUGCCGCGUGUAUGAAGAAGGCCUUCGGGUUUUAAAGUACUUUUAGCAGGGAAGCGGUACCCGCAGAAUAAGCACCGGCUAACUCCGUGCCAGCAGCCGCGGUAAUUC
rnacentral:rRNA from 1 species